rnacentral:rRNA from 1 species
AACGAACGCUGGCGGCAGGCUUAACACGUGCAAGUCGAACGGGUGUAGCAAUACAUCAGUGGCAGACGGGUGAGUAACACGUGGGAACCUUCCUAGGGGUACGGAACAACUCAGGGAAACUUGAGCUAAUACCGUAUACGUCCGUGAGGAGAAAGAUUUAUCGCCCUUAGACGGGCCCGCGUCGGAUUAGCUAGUUGGUGGGGUAACGGCCUACCAAGGCGACGAUCCGUAGCUGAUCUUAGAGGAUGAUCAGCCACACUGGGACUGAGACACGGCCCAGACUCCUACGGGAGGCAGCAGUGGGGAAUUUUGGACAAUGGGCGCAAGCCUGAUCCAGCCAUGCCGCGUGAGUGAAGAAGGUCUUCGGAUUGUAAAGCUCUUUUGCCAGGGACGAUAAUGACGGUACCUGGAGAAUAAGCCUCGGCAAACUUCGUGCCAGCCGCCGCGGUAACAC